CAUUGGUCCCCCCGCAACACGAACUGGCGAACCCGGUCAGGCCCGGAAGGGAGCAGCCGUAGUCAGGGAUGUGGGUGCCGGGGUGUUGGCUGGUGAGGU
rnacentral:SRP_RNA from 1 species